ACCAGCAGCACAGCGUCUCGCGACCGGGCGGGGCUCCCCGCGGGCGAGGCUGGCGGAGGUGGGCGCUGUAAGGUUCGCGAGGCCCCGGACUCCGGGUGUGAAGGACGCAACACCGCGGGCAGCGACGUGCGAGCAGCGACGUGCGAGGUACAACUGGAACUGCUGAAACUCACGCCAGCGCAGACGCCCUUCCAUCCGGGAAAUCUGCUUCCGGGUGGGCCGGAAACGGCGAGCGCGGGUGGGGCGGGGCCUGGAGGGAAGGGUUUGUGCGAGGCGGGCGCGUGCCUCCGCCCCACCUCCAGGACGUUUCCGGUCUGCGCGUACUUCCGCCCCAGAGCUUGGGUCGGCGCUUUUGCGUCCUGGUGAAAGUGUAGGGUGGUCUGUGGGGCCGGGCUGCCCUACUCGGCUUCAAGUGUGAACGCCGAACUCACCUGUGCGAAACCGCAGACGGUAGCUUCCGUUUGUCUUCCCUGCUCGCGGGGCGGCGGAAGGACUUCGCGGGCCCAGCAUUGGCAGUGAGGAUGGACGGCCGAGGCCUUGGUGUGAUUGCGCACAUCUGGAGAAGAUGUAUAAAUUCAGAUGCCUUUGAGCCAAAUGUGCAUGACAUCAGCAAAUUGCCUGAGUUACUACAUUUCACAUUUUUCUUUACUCCAGAGUUAACCGAAAGAACAUUUUUAAUUUUGAAAAGUCAGAUGUUUUAAUCUGCAUUUUUUCUAUCUCUAAAUGUUUUGUGUCAAGUGUGGACAAUAUUAGUUUUUCAUUAUUUCUAUAUACACCUGAUUGAAGUGUCUUUUCGCUGACAAGAACAGUAAACACAGUAAAACUGGAUUCUCAGAUUUCAGUUGCCUCAUUUAUACCCUUAAUAAAUAUUAAUUGUGAAAUA